AGACAUGUGUUGUGAUUUUGGUGUACGUGAACGGACAACACUCUGUAAAUGACGGUAUAGCGUUCAGAUAUCUUGUGUAUGUGAAUCACCUUCUAGGCGUUAGAGUCAAACAUGACUGUUACAUGUAUAACACUACGAAACAGGAACAACACGACAUGCACGACACACUAACAAUGAUCAGCUUAGAGGCAAAAGUUUUGAAGAUGAUCAUUGAGGCUCGUGCGACUUACUUCAAGACAGCAUCUAAGGAUCACUAUAAACAUGAUCUUAGGCGGUUCAGUCAUUUCUGUGACCUAGGAAAUGCUACUCUUUGGGUCUAUAAAGGUCAUACGUUUUGAUAUCUGGUUUUAAAAAAACUCAAGAAAAAUAUAUGCAUUAAUUGUUUAUUUGGUUUUGAUUUUUGAUUUUGUUUGAUUGUUUUUGUUUUGUAAGUUUUUGUUUUUUUUAGGGAGAGUUUAAUGUAAAACCUUAUAAUGAUACAUUAUUGGAAUAAAAGUAUAAUUUGCUGACUGUAACAAAGAGACUUGUAUUGAGAAUUCUUGCGGGAAUAUGAAAAAUAUCGAUAUAGAGAAUAAGGGGCUGGUGUUUGUCUGUUCGUUUUUUCUUUGUACAAUGUAGUGUCUGCUUUUAUUCUUUUCCAUUUAUUAUUUAUUUGUCCCUGUUGCAUCGUCUCGUUUAUUUAUGACCUAUGCCAUUACUACCCAAAUGAUGAUACAUCUGAUUGAGUUUAAAUUACAUAUUAUAGAUUAUUGAGAAAAUAUCCAUAAUUACCGGUACAUUAGAUAACGUAAUGCAUUAUGCGUGAGGAUGGAAGUAAAUACAUACACGUCCAUUUUCACGUUACAUCAACGAUCAGUUAAAUAUAACUUUUUUGUAAUUGCAUGACUG